rnacentral:rRNA from 1 species
CCUACGGGUGGCAGCAGUGAGGAAUAUUGGUCAAUGGCCGCAAGGCUGAACCAGCCAAGUCGCGUGCAGGAUGACGGUCCUAUGGAUUGUAAACCUCUUUUGUCAGGGAGCAAAGUGCGCCACGUGUGGCGCUUUGCGAGUACCUGAUGAAAAAGCAUCGGCUAACUCCGUGCCAGCAGCCGCGGUAAUACGGAGGAUGCGAGCGUUAUCCGGAUUUAUUGGGUUUAAAGGGUGCGCAGGCGGAAUGUUAAGUCAGCGGGAAAAUUUCGGGGCUCAACCCCGGCGUGCGGUUGAAACUGGCGUUCUUGAGUGGGCGAGAAGUACGCGGAAGGCGUGGUGUAGCGGUGAAAUGCAUAGAUAUCACGCAGAACUCCGAUUGCGAAGGCAGCGUACCGGCGCCCAACUGACGCUGAAGCACGAAGGCGUGGGUAUCGAACAGGAUUAGAUACCCCUGUAGUC